UACAGAGGUGGCAAGCGUUGUUCGGAAUUACUGGGCGUAAAGGGCGCGUAGGCGGUUCGGUAAGUCCUGUGUGAAAUCCCUCGGCUCAACUGAGGAACUGCACGGGAGACUGCCGGGCUUGAGUUCGGGAGAGGGAUGCGGAAUUCCAGGUGUAGCGGUGAAAUGCGUAGAUAUCUGGAGGAACACCGGUGGCGAAGGCGGCAUCCUGGACCGGUAUUGACGCUGAGGCGCGAAAGCCAGGGGAGCAAACGGG
rnacentral:rRNA from 1 species